UGGGGUAAUAAAAGCUGUGAUUACGAUCUGCGUGGAAACAUCUGGCAAAGGGAGCUAGCUCUAUAUUUCUACAGAUUGGUUUACACUUCAAGUUUGUCACGUUCUUUGAACGUUCUUCUAUCCCCAAACUCUAGAGCCAAUCAGAUCAGGAUGCUGUUACGUUUAGGUGGCGGCGGCGGAGCCCCAGGACCCAUGAUCUUCUUGAUGCUCUUGAGAUUCGUCCUACACAUUUUCAUCCUCUUGCUCCUGAUCGAUAGAAAUGCAUUCCGAAUUCCUGUCCCGAUAUUUGUACCGAAGGAACAUAAUGAAGAGAAUUAGCCUGAGUGUUAGCUUGUUAUCUAUGUUGAGAGCGUCGAACUAUAAAGGGAACUAAAUCAGAUUAUACCACUACUUCAGUGAGAUAAGGAAACAAUAAAAAAUAGAAUUACUCUCCCUUG